GAUGGUCCCCAACUUCCUCUCCCCUGAAGAAUGCAAGGAGCUGGAAUUCAUACACAAGAGUAGCAGUACUAUUGGCUAUAGACCCAAUGUCUUCUCAACCACUCUCUCCCAUCUCAUUGCCACCAACACUUACCACUUCCUCAUUCCCUUCAUUCACAUUCGAGAAAUGUUGAAAGACAAGCUAGAGGAGUUUUUCAACUGUCAAUACGAGCUCUUCAUUAUUCACCGCUCUAAUCAGAGGUGCAAGCAUUGGGUGGCAUAGUGAUGAUAACAGACCCUACCUCAAACAGCAGCACUUUGCAGUGGUGUGCUAUUUAAAUAAUUAUGGCAAGGAUUUCAAUGGUGGACUCUUUCGUUUCCAAGAUGCCAACCAAUGUCAAUUAUGCCAAUAGAUGGAAAACUAGUUAAACCUAUGAGGAUUGAACGCUAGGCCGUUGUAAACUUCUCAGCUCGCUGUGAUACACGUUUUCUAUGUAAUACCAUCAAGAAGUGUGCUUAAAUGAAGGGGAUUGUAUGAGUUUUAUGGCUAAUUUAGUCUUUAUUUAAGCAUGUUCCUUCCAAUGAUGGUAACAAAGAUGAAGGCAACUAUUUAUGGACUUCUAUGAAACUUCAAAACAAAGGAAGCCUCUACAAAUUAUAAUUUUCAGGUGUAAGCUCCAUGGUUCACCAGAUGCAUUCUCUGCUUCAGUUCAUGAAUAUAAAAUAUCCCUUAAAGGUCUUCUGAGAUUACAUUCAUAUUUUCAUUUUGAGACUUUUAUGUAAUUAGAUUAUAUUGAAAUAGUGAAGUUGUUUUAUUUUACUUUUUAAAGAAAAAUAAUAAUAGUUAUGUAGAACAAUACCAUAUGUAAUUAUGUUUGGAACUAGACAAUGAGAAUUUUUUUU